GAUGAACGCUGGCGGCGUGCCUAACACAUGCAAGUCGAGCGAUCUUCUUCGGAAGAGAGCGGCGGACGGGUGAGUAACGCGUGGGUAACCUGCCUCAUACACAUGGAUAACAUACCGAAAGGUAUGCUAAUACAAGAUGAUAUAAGAGAUUCGCAUGGAUUUCUUAUCAAAGCUCCGGCGGUAUGAGAUGGACCCGCGUCUGAUUAGCUAGUUGGUAAGGUAACGGCUUACCAAGGCGACGAUCAGUAGCCGACCUGAGAGGGUGAUCGGCCACAUUGGAACGGAGACACGGUCCAAACUCCUGCGGGAGGCAGCAGUGGGGAAUAUUGCACAAUGGGCGAAAGCCUGAUGCAGCAACGCCGCGUGAGCGAUGAAGGCCUUCGGGUCGUAAAGCUCUGUCCUCAAGGAAGAUAAUGACGGUACUUGAGGAGGAAGCCCCGGCUAACUACGUGCCAGCAGCCGCCGUAAUAC
rnacentral:rRNA from 1 species